CGGCAACAGCUCAAAUUUGAAAGCUGGCCUUCUGGCCCGCGUUGUAAUUUGUAGAGGAUGCUUCGGAUGCGGUCCGGCCUAAGUGCCUUGGAACAGGACGUCAUAGAGGGUGAGAACCCCGUAUGCGGCCGGGUGCCAAUUCCAUGUGAAGCUCCUUCGAC
rnacentral:rRNA from 1 species